rnacentral:rRNA from 1 species
CCCUUAGAUGUUCUGGGCCGCACGCGCGCUACACUGACGAUGGCAACGAGUUUUUCCUUCGCCGAAAGGUGUGGGUAAUCUUUUGAAACAUCGUCGUGCUGGGGAUAGAUCAUUGCAAUUUUUGAUCUUGAACGAGGAAUUCCUAGCAAGCGCGAGUCAUCAGCUCGCGUUGAUUACGUCCCUGCCCUUUGUACACACCGCCCGUCGCUACUACCGAUUGAAUGGUUUAGUGAGGACUCCUGAUUGGCGCCGCCGCCCCGGCAACGGAGCAGCGGACUGCCGAAAAGUUGUUCAAACUUGAUCAUUUAGAGGAAGUAAAAGUCGUAACA